rnacentral:rRNA from 1 species
AUGUGAACGUUACCAAACUGUUGCCUCGGCGGGGUCACGCCCCGGGUGCGUCGCAGCCCCGGAACCAGGCGCCCGCCGGAGGAACCAACCAAACUCUUUCUGUAGUCCCCUCGCGGACGUAUUUCUUACAGCUCUGAGCAAAAAUUCAAAAUGAAUCAAAACUUUCAACAACGGAUCUCUUGGUUCUGGCAUCGAUGAAGAACGCAGCGAAAUGCGAUAAGUAAUGUGAAUUGCAGAAUUCAGUGAAUCAUCGAAUCUUUGAACGCACAUUGCGCCCGCCAGUAUUCUGGCGGGCAUGCCUGUCCGAGCGUCAUUUCAACCCUCGAACCCCUCCGGGGGAUCGGCGUUGGGGAUCGGGACCCCUCACACGGGUGCCGGCCCCGAAAUACAGUGGCGGUCUCGCCGCAGCCUCUCCUGCGCAGUAGUUUGCACAACUCGCACCGGGAGCGCGGCGCGUCCACGUCCGUAAAACACCCAACUUUCUGAAAUGUUGACCUCGGAUCAGGUAGGAAUACCCGCUGAACUUAAGCAUAUCAAUAAA